rnacentral:rRNA from 1 species
UACAGAGGUCUCAAGCGUUGUUCGGAUUCAUUGGGCGUAAAGGGUGCGUAGGCGGCGUGGUAAGUCGGGGUGUGAAAUCUCGGAGCUUAACUCCGAAACUGCAUUCGAUACUGCCGUGCUUGAGGACUGGAGAGGAGACUGGAAUUUACGGUGUAGCGGUGAAAUGCGUAGAUAUCGUAAGGAAGACCAGUGGCGAAGGCGGGUCUCUGGACAGUUCCUGACGCUGAGGCACGAAGGCCAGGGGAGCAAACGGGG